UACGUAGGGUGCAAGCGUUAAUCGGAAUUACUGGGCGUAAAGCGUGCGCAGGCGGUUUUGUAAGUUUGUCGUGAAAUCCCCGGGCUUAACCUGGGAAUUGCGAUGAAGACUGCAAGGCUAGAAUCUGGCAGAGGGGGGUAGAAUUCCACGUGUAGCAGUGAAAUGCGUAGAGAUGUGGAGGAACACCAGUGGCGAAGGCGACACGCUGGGCCGUACCUGACACUGAUGCGCGACAGCAUGGGGAGCAAACAGG
rnacentral:rRNA from 1 species